GUAAGGAAUCUUCCACAAUGGGCGCAAGCCUGAUGGAGCAAUGCCGCGUGCAGGAAGACGCUUUUCGGAGUGUAAACUGCUUUUCUGAAGGAAGAUUAUGACGGUACUUCAGGAAUAAGGAUCGGCUAACUACGUGCCAGCAGCCGCGGUAAUACGUAGGAUCCAAGCGUUAUCCGGAAUUACUGGGCGUAAAGCGUGCGCAGACGGUUUGAUAGGUCAGUUGCGAAAUCCCAUGGCUCAACCAUGUGGACUGUAAUUGAAACCAUCUGACUAGAGGUAGGUAGAGGCAAGUGGAAUUUCUGGUGUAGGGGUGACAUCCGUAGAUAUCAGAAGGAACACCAAUGGCGAAGGCAGCUUGCUGGGCCUUACCUGACGUUCAGGCACGAAAGCGUGGGGAGCAAACAGGAUUAGAAACCCGGGUAGUCC
rnacentral:rRNA from 1 species